UAAUUGAUCUGAGGUGGUGUGGAGGGUGUGUGGUGCGACUCUGUGGGGGUCCUGGCUCCUGCUGCAGGUAGGGAAGGUGGGGGCCCUACCCCUCCCCCUUAUCCUUGAGGGAGGGGGGAGGGGGAGGGCCGGUUGUGUGAGGGGGGGUCUGUUGUGUUUCUGGUUGUGUGUAUAGUUGUGAGCUCCGUCAGUGUGGGGCGUGGGCCUGAAUAGAGUGAUCUAGGGUGUGUGUGGGUGCUGGUUGGGGAGGCAGAGGGAGGGGGGAGGGGGGGGGGGUCUGUGUGGCUGAGUGUGGGCUGUGGAGGUGUCGGUGAGGGGAAGGUCCAGGCUCGAGGUGGGGUGGUAUGGGGACUGGUCGGUAUGGGGGAGGGGGGGAGUAGGUUGAGGGGGUGUGGGUUGGUGAUGAGUGGUGAGUGAGGGGCGGACGGUGUAUGGAGUAGUGUGUGUUCUAGUUGAUGUAAGGUGGUGGGUAAUAGUCUGUGGCCCAACCUCUUGUGCGCCCGGUUGGUAGCGGUCUUAAGUGAGAGUGUGUUGGUGGGCCGGGGUGUUUGUGUGAGUUGGUCUAUUGUGUGUGUGUAGUGUUCUUUUAGGAUCAACAUGUCAUUGUUCAUCCCGGUGUUGGAGUUGUCAUUAUUUCUUUGUGAUGUGGUGUCUGUGGGUGAUGGGUUUGAUGAAGUGGGAUCAUUUGUGGACCUGUCGUGACAUCCCCCUGGGGAGUUCCCGGGAGGACACCGCUCUGUCCGCUGUGUCCCUGUGGUGCAGGGCCUGGAGUAUUUUAAAAUAUACUUUGUCAUUUCCACGGGUUGGACCAUCUGGUGCAAUGUACCGGGUGUGUGUUGGUGGUGGUGGGAGGAGAGGACGGGUGGAGGGUGGAGGUGGUCUUUGUGGUCUGAGUGGUUGUGUGUGUGGGUGUGUUGGUGUGGGUCUGGUGUGUUCUGUGGUUUGAUAUGUGUGUGUGGGUCUAUUGUGGUGGUGGUGGGUGUGUGGGGGUCUAUACUGAAGGCUGGGGGGUCUAUAACGGGAUGUAGGUGUGGGAGGUAGCGUGCGUCUGUUGUGUGCGUGGUAGUGUGGCUGUGUGGUGUUGGUGCGAUUGGUGUAGGUAGGCCUCCAGGGUGAAGACACUUCAAUAAAGAUAGAUCUAUUUCAAAAGGGUGAAGCUGUGAGGGGGCUCUGACCUGCUGACGGAGAGGGUGGUGGUCCCGUGGUGGGUAGAGGAGAGGGUGGUGGUCCCGUGGUGGGUAGCCUGAGAGGGUGGUGGUCCCGUGGUGGGUAGCCUGAGAGGGUGGUGGUCCCGUGGUGGGUAGAGGCGACGGCAGGACGGUCCCUGGUAACUGCUGACGGUGACACAGCCAACGGGCCAAUAGAAACACACUUCUAUUGGAAAGGAUGAAAAGUACAUCAGAGUAAAUAAAAGGGGGGGUCUGAGGACCCCGCCCGCACACACACGCAUAGAAAUAUAUAUAUAUGUAUAUAUUUCUAAAUAUAUGUGUUCUGUUACAUGUAUGUUUUCUCCUGUGUAAUUCAGUCUUUUAUGUUUAUUGAUGGUCCUGUGAUGCCAUCUACUGGCGGACUUUGGUAUCUUUCUGAAAUACGUUCUGCUAUGCAUGCCUUUCACUCCAUUACACUACAUUCACUUGAUCGGAAAGCAUGGUACUCGCACUCGUCUUCAUAAUUGCGUCUCCUCUGGUUUCAAGUUAGCCUUUGAAAGCAUCGUUGGUACGUUAUCUGUAUUGAUAUGUUAAGGGGGUUUGAUGUAUAAUGAGAUUAAGGAAACUUUGUAAACAAAUUAGAUGGAUGGAUAUUCUUACAUUAGCAAGCUAACUUAGUAGCUAAGCUAAUUUUACAGCAUUCUGUUAUUCUCAUACUGAAAUGCUGUACUUCCAUUCCUCAGUUUUACCCUACUUCACCUCACCAUAAAGAGUGAACUGUAACUUUUCGUCUGCGUGGUUUGAUGGAGAGGAGUUUAUACUAUCUGUCAACCCUGGCAAGGUGCUGGGGGUAGAGGGCAAAACAAGAGAGAGAGACACAAACACACACACACACACACACACACACACACACACACACACACACACACACACACACACACACACACACACACACACACACACACACACACACAUCCACGCAUCCAGACCCAUCCAUACACAUCCUCUCAUUAAUAGUAAAUCAUGCGCAUUUAUACAAAAUAUAGGAAUAAAAAGGAGCACACUGCAAUCUCAGUAGAAGUCAUGGGCGAAAAAUAAAGGAACCCCAAAAUUGCACACGCAUGUACAUAUAUAAUAAAAACAUGGUAAAAGCAUGCAAGAAGUAUUAAAAUAACACAGGGUAAAGGUAAGUGCUGGCAGAUAAGUGCAAAAUAGAUUAAAUGAAUAAAUAAAAAAAUAGGAAUAUA